rnacentral:rRNA from 1 species
CCUACGGGAGGCAGCAGUGGUGAAUAUUGGGCAAUGGGCGCAAGCCUGACCCAGCAACGCCGCGUGAAGGAAGAAGGCUUUCGGGUUGUAAACUUCUUUUCUGAGGGACGAAGAAAGUGACGGUACCUCAGGAAUAAGCCACGGCUAACUACGUGCCAGCAGCCGCGGUAAUACGUAGGUGGCAAGCUUUAUCCGGAUUUAUUGGGUUGAAAGUGCGUGUAGGCGGGAAAGCAAGUCAGAUGUGACAACUCAGGGCUCAACCCUGAGCGUGCAUUUGAAACUGUUUUUCUUGAGGGCUGGAGAGGCAAUCGGAAUUCCGUGUGGAGCGGUGAAAUGCGUAGAUAUACGGAGGAACACCAGUGGCGAAGGCGGAUUGCUGGACAGUAACUGACGCUGAGGCGCGAAAGCGUGGGGAGCAAACAGGAUUAGAUACCCGGGUAGUC